CCUACGGGUGGCAGCAGUCGAGAAUCAUUCACAAUGGGGGAAACCCUGAUGGUGCGACGCCGCGUGGGGGAAUGAAGAUCUUCGGAUUGUAAACCCCUGUCAUGUGGGAGCAAAUGAAAAAGAUAGUACCACAAGCGGAAGAGACUGCUAACUCUGUGCCAGCAGCAGAGUUAAUACAGAGGUCUCAAUCGUUGUUCGGAAUCACUGGGCGUAACGCAUGCGUAGGCUGUUUCGUAGUUCGUGUGUGAAGGGCGCGGGCUGAACCAGCGGACGGCACAGGGUACUGCGAGACUAGAGUAAUGGAGGGGGAACCGGAAUUCUCGGUGUAGCAGUGAAAGGCGUAGAUA
rnacentral:rRNA from 1 species